rnacentral:rRNA from 1 species
UACGUAGGGUGCAAGCGUUGUCCGGAAUUAUUGGGCGUAAAGAGCUCGUAGGCGGUUUGUCGCGUCUGCUGUGAAAACCCGAGGCUCAACCUCGGGCCUGCAGUGGGUACGGGCAGACUAGAGUGCGGUAGGGGAGAUUGGAAUUCCUGGUGUAGCGGUGAAAUGCGCAGAUAUCAGGAGGAACACCAAUGGCGAAGGCAGCUCACUGGGACGGUAUUGACGCUGAGACGCGAAAGCGUGGGGAGCAAACAGG